GCCAAGAUAGUUCAACUGGUUAGAACAUUAAUUUCAUGCGUUAAUAGUGUGGGUUCAACUCCCUCUCUUGGUA